rnacentral:tRNA from 1 species
UGUGAAGUGCCUGAUUAUAGGACAAUUUUGAUGAGAUUGAAAAAGUGAGUCUUUUCCCCCCCCNACCUUCACAA